UUUAACGGGAUGUGUUGUAAGCUAACUAAUUAUAACAACACAAGAAAAGUUUUUCUUUCAACACAUCAAAUUUUGUAAAAUUAGUACUUAAAAACAUAAAAGAAUUUAUAAGAAUACCGAACUAGGCCUAAUUAUUUACUUUUAUAAAAUUUAUUAUAAAGAAGAUAUACGCUAUCUUUCAACCACCCGACGUCUGUUGCAAAUGAUAAAAUUCAAGUGAGUAGCUCUCCGUCAAUGUCUCGUUGGAAUGAUCUCGAUCAACUGUCACGUGUUUAUUUUGCAUUCAUCCAAUAGUUUUUUAGAUAUUUUUUUAUACUAAAUUUUUAAAAAAAAAAAUUAAAACCUAGCGCUAGAAAAAUUUGCAAAUUAACGAAUU
rnacentral:lncRNA from 1 species